ACAUUGUGUAAGUUUCACAUGUAAAGUAUUAUACUUCAACUUCCACAUACACUACAGCACUGUCUAUAUACCACACCUUCUUAAUCUAUUCAUCCAUCAAUGGGCACUUAGGUUGUUUCCAUAUCUUGGCUAAUAAAAAUAGUGCUGUGAUGAAUAUGGGGGUGCAUAUGUCAUUUUGAAUUAUAUUUUCAUUUUCUGAUAAAUACCUAGAAGUGCAAUAGUUGGAUCAUAUGAUAUUUCUAUUUUUAAUUUUUUUGGAGAAAUUGCCAUACUGUUUUCCAUAGUGGCUAUACCAGUUUCAUUCCUAUCAACAGUGUAGGCGGGUUCCCUUUCCAGCCUUUCCAGCACUUAUUUCUCGUCUUUUGAUGAUAGCCAUUCUAAUGAGUGUGAGGUGAUAUCUCAUUGUGGUUUUGAUUUACACAUUUACAUUUCCCUGAUGGUUAGUGAUGCUAUGAAUCUCUUCAUUUGCCUGUUGGCCAUCAGUAUGUCUUCUUUGGAAAAAUGUCUGUCCAGAUACUCUGUUCGUUUUUUAAAUCUGAUUGUUUUUGUUGUUGAGUCAUAUGAGUUCUUUACAGUCAUUGAAUUCUUUAAAAAAUUUUUAUUAUAGCUGAUUUACAAUGUUCUGCCAAAGGCUGCUGUGGAGCAGAGUGACCCAGUUAUACAUAUAAAUACAUUCUUUUUCUCAUCUUAUCUUCCAUCAUGUUUUAUCCAAAGUGACUGGAUAUAGUUCCCUGUGCUAUUCAGCAGGACCUCAUUGCUUAUCCAUUCUAAAUGCAACAGUUUGCAUGUACCAGCCUCAAACACCCAGUCCAUCCCAUUCUCUCCCCCGCCCCUCCCCCUUGGCAACCACAUGCCUGCUCUCCAUGUCUGUGAGUCUGUUUCUGUUUUGUAGACAGGUUCAUCUGGGCCAUAUUUUAGAUUCCAUAUAUAAGUCAUAUCAUAUGGUAUUUGUCUUUUUCUGAAUUACUUCGCUUAGUAUGAGAAUCUCUAGUUCAUCCAUGUUGCUGCAGAUGGCAUUAUUUUGUGCUAUUUUAUGGCCGAGUAGUAUUCCAUUGUGUAUAUGUCCUAUAUCUUCUUCAUCCAUUCAUCUGUCAAUAGACGUUUAGGUUGUUUCAAUGUCUUGGCUAUUGUAAAUAGUGCUGCAGUGGAUGUAGGGGUGCAUGUGUCUUUUUGAAUGAAAACUUUGUCUGGAUGUAUGCCAAGAAGUGGGAUUGCUGGAUCAUAUGGUAGUUCUGUAUUUAGUUUUCUGGGAAACCUCCAUAUCGUUUUCCAUAGUGGUUGUACCAAUUAACAUUCCCACCAACAGUGUAGGUUCCCUUUUCUCCACACCCUCUCCAGUAUUUGUUAUUUGUAGAGCUAUUAAUGGUGGUCAUUCUGACAGGUGUGAGGUGGUACCUCAUUGUAGUUUUGAUUUGCAUUUCUCUAAUUACUUACUGAUGUUGAGCAUUUUUUUUUAAUGGACAUUUAUAUGUAUUGUCAUUAAGAGUGUAGUCCUAUAAAAACAAUGUCACUAAAAAUACUGCAACUUUAUUUUUGCCUUUAAGAUUCCAAGGCAAUAUAAUAUUAGCAUUAAGUAGGAUACUCUUGUCUCAAUAAUCUAUUGCUACUUCAUAAACCAUUCCAAAAUUCAGAAAGUUAAAGCAACAAUUAUAUCAUUUUUCAUGAGUCUGCAGGGUUGGUGGCAGGGGGGGCAGUCAGCUGCAUUCUGCUGAGUCAUGGGCAUUUUGGCAGGCUUACUUGUGUUUGGAGGUAGCUCAGCUCCACACAUCUCUCAUCGUCCUCUUGGGGACCAGCGGGUUAUCCCAGCUAUUUCCUCCUCAGAGUGGAGCAGGAGGACAAAGAGCAAACAGAGACCAGCAUGGCCCCUUGUGACUGAAGCUCAGAAUCACACACUGCCACUCCCCUCCUCCUUAUUCUAUAGGCCAGAGCAAGUUACACAGGCCAAGUGGGAGGUCACUACAAAGUUACCUGGCAAAGGGCUUGGAUACAAGGAAGGAAGAUAAAUUAGGGCCACCAAGACGACCUAUCUUGCCUUCUCUGCAGUAGCAGAGGCCCUGGCAUGAAGGGACACUUAUUGAGACUCACUGAAAUCAAAGUCCUAUGUCCAGUUAAACUUGCAAGAUUUUCAUUUUUAAAAAACAAUGUAUUUUAAUUUUUUUUGGUCAUGCCCAUGGCGUGCAGAAGUUUCCCAGGCCAGAGAUUGAACCUGAGUCACAGUAGUGACAACAAAUCCUUAAUCACUGGGCCACCAG
rnacentral:lncRNA from 1 species